UCGAGGCCAGCCUGGUCAACAUGGCAAAUUCCAGGACAGCCAGGGCUACAUAGACUGUGUCUCAAAAAAAAUUUUUUCCCCACUGUUUACAGAAUUUCAACAUUUGAAUUUGGAUUGCUGAGAAGUGUGUACCAGCCAGCAUAACCUUUGCCCAACAGGCUAACAACUGGGAAGGGCGCCUACAGUUCAAAAUUUCACCACCAGAGGUCAGCAGACAUAAAAGACACUUGUCCCUGGCAAGAGGGCCUCCUCAGAUGACUAACAUUCACAGUAUGCCUCCAAAACCUCCUAAACUGUAGUAUUAUAAAAUAUAAAGGGAAGCCACAGGGUGUGCAGAAAGCAUGUCCAUAUGAACAGAGGGUCUGUGGCUUGUGUUGCCAUAGAGACAGGCAUGCAGCCUCAGUUCCCUCAGAGUAAGAAACCAGUCAUAGGUUAUCAUGUUCACACCUGUGAGCUUCAAAGCGCUGGUCAAAGGGGCCUGGUUCCUGCUCCUGUCUCUGUACUAGCUGCCUUUCUCAGAAUGAUCUAACUUAGAUCAGAGAUGAAGGUAGCAGCUCAUUGAGACAGGGCCUUUCUCCUGGGGAGCACGCAUGAGAGGAGGCAAUCUCUAUGAGGAAAGGACAGGGCUGGAGACAGCAUCGUCGUAUCCUUCCUUGGCCCUUCCGGAAGUCUGCAGGGCUGUGUUAGUAAGGUGUGGGAUGCUGCGCUUAGUUCCUGCUGUCCUCCUUCGACAGCCUCCAGAUCAGAUAAGUGAGGAUGUGGGCAAUUGAAGAUCAAAUGGCUUCUUUGGUCUGGAAUGUCUCUGGAGACCCUCUCCUCCAGAGUGGGAGCAGGGUAAGGAUGCAGCAGCAAGGCGAACGCCUCAGCCAAAGCCUCGGGUCAUUAUUUCUUUUGAAGACAGAAACAACCCAGAACCCAAGCACGGUGGCUCACUCCUGUAAUCUCAGCAUUUGGAAUUAAGAGGCAGGAAGACUGCUUCAAGUUGGAGGCCAUCUUGGGCUACACUGUCAAUCCCAGGCCAUCCUGGGCCUUGUCUCAAGGUGGCAGUGCAGGGAGCAGGGGGAACAACUGCAGUUGGAGAGAAAGAACCUGAGUUGGAAUCCCAAGCAGACAAAAAAAAAAAAAAAAAAUUGUGUGUGCCUGCACAUACAUAUAACCCAGGCUUAGAGGGUAAGUGUGCCCUGCUGUUUUUAUAGAAGAUCUUGAGUUCAGUUCGAAAACACGUGUAACUGCAGAGCUCCAGAGGAGUCAGCACUUUCUUCUCAGACACUGGCAUGCAUGUGCCUGCCACUUGCACACACAUAUACACAAAUCUCUCUCUGUGUGUGUCUGCCUUUCUCUCCCCAUGUGUGUGUGUGUGUGUGAGUGUGAAGAAAAUCUGAACUGGUGGUGGCACAAGCCUAUAAUCUCAGUUACUUGGCUGAGGUGGGAGGAUUAAAACUCCAAGGUCGGCUGGGAUACAGAAGGAGUUCAAGGCCAGCCUAGGCAACUUAAAAAACAACAAAGCCAGGCACAGUGGCAGAUGCCUUUAAUCCCUGGUCUUGACACAGGCAGUAGGGGUGUGUGUAUACAGGGCAACAGAGACAGAGGUCUGGAGAAGAAGAAAGAGAACAUGCUAGAGUAGAUGAGACUUGAGAAAGAAGAGAGAGAGAGAGAGAGAG
rnacentral:lncRNA from 1 species